GCAGACCUGCUCCUGAGACACUACAGCCCUCCUCUUGUCUCCAGCAACAUGAUGGGCAACCCUGGUCUGCAGUUCUCAGAGAUCAUUUCAUCAUCAUUUAGAUACAUAAAAUACAUGGAUUCAGUAGAUUGCAGUUAAUCACUCUAUCUUCUUGAGAAGAUAUUUUAAAAUUUAAGGUCUGACUGUGCCUUCAGUGAUAACAGAAAUUCCAAGAGGAAAACACAAUUGAAACGAGUGCUUCAUAUUUCUACGUAGCUGACUGGCAAGCUCUGAUUCUUGCAGGUUACCAGCCAGUAUGGACUUUCCUCCACAUGAUGAUUCAGGAACCCAGAUUGCUUCCAUCACAGCCUGCAGCAUCCCCGAGACCUUGGAGUCUUCCGUAUUCAUCCAGCAGACUGGAGAAGAUAAACUAUCUUGGUCUGGAAGUGACAAACAUGCAUUACUCUCAUAGCCUCAUUGGCGAAUGUGAUGGAAAAUGUGAUCCCUGGAUGGCUAGGCUCCUUCUGAGUACAACUCAAAACUAUCGAAGGGAGAGCUUGAAUUUUGUUUGAUGGUCAGCGGUCUUUGCUAUACCUUUCUUACACUUAACUUUCUUUGUCUUUGUAUUAUUUCUCAUUUCAGUCCUAAAAAUCCUUGAUUGUGAGAAAGAGAUAUUAUAUCAUAAUUUUUAAUCCCCCAAAACAUAUAAUGUACUACUUUGAGCAUAAUUUUUCUCACUAAAUAUCUUGAUUGAUUUGUAAUAAAUUAGGAGAGUAUCUAAGAAUUACAGUGAUGCCCAAUUUCCCCAAAGUGCUUGAAUAUUACCCUGUUCUCUAGUCUGAUAGCUCCUAGACACAAAUGGGCAAAUUAAAUAGACACAUUCUUUUAAAAAUGUGCUUCUGUGCUUCACUGAAUUCAAAUAUUUAUUCCAUCGACAUUAUGGAAUAACUAUGAUGUGCCAAACAUUAUGGCAGAUGUUUUGGUAAAGGAGAUGAAUAUUUUACAGUCCCUAAACACAAGGAAUUCACAGUCAAGAAUGACAAGAAAAAUUAAUGAUGAACAAUGAGACUGGCAGAACCACUCAAACAUAAGCAGAGAAUGGAAUUGAGCCUGUAAGCCAAGCACAGACGGACGAUCCCUCACUUUACAGUUUGAUCCUUUGAGAUGAACUCUAGGUAGAAGACAUGAGAGCAUUCUUCCUCAUGAUAUAAUCAACAUUACUAAUAACAAAAUGACACCAGCAUGACACCGUAUGCUUCAUCAAACACUUUCACGUAUAUCAUAUUGUUUGCCCCCACUUCAAACCUUUGA